GUGAUUGACUGCUGUACCACGGGGUGAAAAACAAAAAGUCUUAACAGCCAAGUAGUAUUGCAAACCUAAUAUACUCCAUCCCUUCGAAGCUGUAGUAAGAAUCUGAUCGAAAAACGAAGUAACAUUAAAGUAAAGAUUCGAAUACAAAACUACGUUUAGUUUCGUGUCUGCUGAAUUUGACUACUGGGACCUUUUAUAAACGCCGCGGAUAUAACAUUCAAGGUUAUGAUUGCCAAAGUUUGAAAUGAAUUCAUCUCAAAGCACAAAAGUGACGAAUGACGAUGGACAAUGACUAAUAAACACGACAAAAUGUACAACUGUACACUCUCUUCUGUGGGCACAGAUCUUCACAAUUCUUGGAAUAUUUUGUUAGUAGAUAUAUGCACAAGAAGGCAGUCAUUGGUAUAAGCUAAUUGAAAGUGAAUACUUCCCAAUAUAAAUAAGCUCUCAGUGAUGAAUUUUAACCUAAACGAUUUAUCCACUGCUGAGCCCUCAAGCCUCGCUCAAACCAACGCCACAGAAAUACAAUUAAGCUUUUCAAAAUGUUACACUUUCAAUCCAUUUGUAAUAUCUGUCGGGCCUCGCACUCUGAAGAAAAUUCUGCCAAGUAAUAUUUAUUCAGAAAGAACGAUCCCAACUCUGAACUCAGAAUUAUUAGGAGAUUUGUUUCCAUGUAUCAGUUGACAAUUUAAACUGCGAAAUUUGUGAAAAAUCAAUCCGGGUGAUUUUAAAACCGCUGUUGACUUUGAUUUCUCUAUCAGCAGUAAAAGCGACGUUUCGAUCGAUCAUUUCCAACUCUAUGUUCAUGUUUUAUUUUAUAACCUGAUUUUUGGGAAAACUGUAUUUGCCACAAUUUGUUGACCACGUGGUUUUCAUGUUCAGAUUUUAUUAACUAUGAAGUCGUAGGUGAACAGUGAAGGUAUAACAACUUCAAUUAACUUGCUUAAAAAAAAAUAGGCGCUCCAAAGUAUGUGUACCGAUAUGGGGGUAACUAAUUUUGUUCGUGUACUCUACAUCAGCUUGUCAAGUUGUUUGAAGGGACGGAAGCCUAUGGGAAGGGGGUUUAUUCACAUGACUGACACAGAUAGAACCCGAACUCGUAAUAGUACUAACAUAAGGAAAUCGAAACAAAAUUAUGGCCUUACUCUAACCUCGUACACAUACUACGGGAGUAUCAAAAUUAUAUAGCUCAAUGUUUUAUAGUUAUACCAAUACCGUGAUAAGCCUUGUAGCCACGUCUUUUAUCUUUUCCAUCAAUUUUUCGUGAUAUUUCUAUUGAUAUUUAUAUUACCAAUAUGUGUGAUUGUAUGCUAAUAUCAAUAUAACUUUGCAACAUUG